ACGGGUGAGUAACACGUGAGUAACCUGCCCUUGUCUUUGGGAUAACCUUCGGAAACGGGGGCUAAUACCGGAUAUUCCCUUACCUGCGCAUGUGGGUUUGGGGAAAGUUUUUUCGGAUGGGGAUGGGCUCGCGGCCUAUCAGCUUGUUGGUGGGGUGAUGGCCUACCAAGGCGGUGACGGGUAGCCGGCCUGAGAGGGCGACCGGCCACACUGGGACUGAGACACGGCCCAGACUCCUACGGGAGGCAGCAGUGGGGAAUAUUGCACAAUGGACGCAAGUCUGAUGCAGCGACGCCGCGUGAGGGAUGACGGCCUUCGGGUUGUAAACCUCUUUCGCCAGGGACGAAGCGUGAGUGACGGUACCUGGAGAAGAAGCGCCGGCCAACUACGUGCCAGCAGCCGCGGUAAGACGUAGGGCGCAAGCGUUGUCCGGAUUUAUUGGGCGUAAAGAGCUCGUAGGCGGCUCAUUGCGUCGCCCGUGAAAACCUGGGGCUCAACUUCAGGAUUGCGGGCGAUACGGGUGGGCUGGAGUUCGGUAGGGGAGACUGGAAUUCCUGGUGUAGCGGUGAAAUGCGCAGA
rnacentral:rRNA from 1 species